CUCAGCAUGACUGGAAACUGAUGGUCUGGGCUGCGUUUCCCAAACAACGAAGUAACUCACGGCUAAACUAUAAAAGUCUGAUGCAUCGUUUGAGAAAAGAAUGAUGUAGUGACGAGUGUUUCCCAAAACCUGUAGUUUCUCUGUCGCAGCUCCAUCGCUUAAACCAGUUGAGGGGGGCUCGUGGCCCAGUAGAGCUUUACCCCUGAGACUAACAAGGGGAACAGUGGAGAUAAACUGGAAGACCUGGAGCUCGGCAAAGAGAUUUGUACGAAGCAUGUGGAAGAACAGGGAAACACACCUCAGUAAUCACAAGUGCAUCAUAAUAAAUUAGG